rnacentral:lncRNA from 1 species
GUAAAUGUAAAUGUAAUACCUUAAAUAAAGGUAGGGGCAUGGAUCAGAAAACCAGUCAGUAUCUGGUGUGACCACCAUUUGCCUCAUGCAGCGCGACACAUCUCCUUCGCAUAGAGUUGAUCAGGCUGUUGAUUGCGGCCUGUGGAAUGUUGUCCGACUCCUCUUCAAUGGCUGUGCGAAGUUGCUGGAUAUUGGCGGGAACUGGAACACGCUGUCGUACACGUCGAUCCAGAACAUCCCGAACAUGCUCAGUGGGUGACAUGUCUGGUGAGAUUGCAGGCCAAUAACUGGGAUAUUUUCAGCUUCCAGGAAUUGUGUACAGAUCCUUGCGACAUGGGGUCGUGCAUUAUCAUGCUGAAACAUGAGGUGAUGUUGGCGGAUGAAUGGCACGACAAUGGGCCUCAGGAUCUCAUCACGGUAUCUCUGUGCAUUCAAAUUGCCAUCGAAAAAAUGCAAUUGUGUUCGUUGUCCGUAGUUCAUUGCUACCCAUACCAUAACCCCACCGCCCCCAUGGGACACUCUGUUCACAACGUUGACAUCAGCAUACCGCUCACCCACACGAUGAAGCCGUACACGUUAUCUGCCAUCUGCCCGGUACAGUUGAACCUGGGAUUCAUCUGUGAAGAGCACACUUCUCCAGUGUGCCAGUGGCCAUCGAAGGUGGGAAUUUUCCCACUGAAGUAGGUUACGACGCGGGAACUGCACUCAGGUCAAGACCCUGGUGAGGACGACGAGCACGCAGAUGAGCUUCCCUGAGACGGUUUAUGAUAGUUUGUACAGAACUUCUUAGAUUGUGCAAACCCACAGUUUCAUCAGCUGUCCAGGUGGCUGGUCUCAGACGAUCCCGCAGGUGAAGAUGCCUGCAGUCAGCAUGCCAAUUGCACACUCCCUCAACUUGAGAGUGCAAGUUAUUGUAACCUCUUCAAAGUGCGCAUCAGAAUUCGGAUGAUGUGACGGAAGCCUGUCCUGCAUCAGCUUAUCAGGUUCUUUGAGGUUUCUGGAGCUGCAGCGGGCUGAUGUUGAAGACAGCCCCUCCUCUCCCCAGACCACCAGGUCCCAGCCCAGCGCUUUCACACGCUCAACCGAACCACCAACCUCUACAGCUUCUCGUGAAGCCGCUCAACAUCUACAUCACAUUCACUCAUCUAACAGACUCCCGUCCAGAGCGACCCACAGAAGCAACCAGGGUCAACACCCUGCUCAAGGGCACGUCGACAGAUCUCCCACAAGAUUAAAAACGGGGACCCGAACCAGUGACCUAUCAGCCACUGGCCCAAGCUCCCAACCGCCAGGCCACCAGCCCUCCAAAAUGUAAUCAUUCCAUUCCCCACCCCACCCCCAAGACCGCCCGUCCCCACAAGCCCCUGUCACCCAAUGCACUAACAACCAAAAAAAUUAAAAAGACAAAGGCAAAGAAAAACAAAAGACAUCAAGGACAACAAAAAUCAUAACAGCAAGGCCAACUGAAUAUGUUUGAGUGCAUGUAUGGCACUAUUACCUGUGUGUGUGUCCAUGUAUGUGCACAUGUGUGCAUUUGAAUGGGUGUGUGUGUGUAUAUGCAUGUGUACAAACACAUGCACGGCAGCAGCCUCAGGCAAACCGGCAUUAGCUGUAAAAACGCUGCCCCUCAGUUUCAUUCAAAUAUACUUUUUGUUAUGUUUUAUUUUGACUUUGUUGAAUUUUUUUAAUACUUUUAUCUUUGACUGUUAUUCUAUCCCUGCCCAGCAACUCCACUCCCUCUUGUCUCUAAUUCCACAUUCCAACCCUCAGCCCCUCCCAUCUAUCUCUGCUGGCCACCCUCUUCGGAUUUUUAUGCACCAUAUAUCUUUCAACUAUGCUGUGAUGUUUAACAUACAAUUUCAAUCUAUGUAAUUGAAUAGAAUCCACAGAUUGCAAGUUGAAGAUACAUACUUUUACUAAGAAUAUUAGUAUAUUCUUAAUUGACUGACCCGGUCUCUCCAGAUCUCCCAACAGUACUAUUUCUAGGGUCAAUUUUAGAUCAAUGUUCUGCAUUUUUAGCCAUUCCUGAACCUGAGACCAGAAACAGGCUACCUGAGUGCAAUACCAAAAUAAAUGGUCUAUUGAUUCUGCAUCCUCACAACAUUAUCUGCAGAGCUUCGAUGAUUGAAUGCCCCAAAUAUUCAAAAUUUAGUUGGUGGCAAGAAUUGUAUAUAAUCAUUUCUGCUGAUAAUUUUAUAUAUCAACUCAUACACCCUGUAACAUGGAAUUGGUGCGUCAAAAAUCUCUUCCCUACUAUUUUGCAAUCUGUAUGGCACAGCUGUCAACAUCCUGGUCCUCAAAUGAAACUGGUAUACUUUCCGAUUUAUGAAUAUUUUUAUUCCUCCACCCUUUUUGAUCCUUUAUAUUGGGCAGACAGACCAGUUCCCUACUGUACCUCCUCCCGCUGCCACCUGCCUCCUCUAUUUUUGGGAUAAUGCUGUAAUCAAUUGGUUGUAAUCUUGGAUUGAGCAGACCUUCCCAUACAAUUCUGCUAACUCCAUGAAAGACAACUCUACCAUUCCAAUUUACAAUAUCAUUUAAAAACAAAAUACUCUUUUCAAACAUCUUUACCAUAAAUACAGGUAUUUUAUUAACCAGGUUUUAUCAAUAGGUGCCCUUCUUUGCGAGUUAUUGGAAAACCUCCCUGGUCUUUGUGGUUGAAUCUGUGUCUGAAAGAUAAUUGUAUUUUGUGGGGUACAGAGAUGAGGUAGUCGUUCAAAAGUCAUGUUAACCACUAUUAUUGCACACAGAGUGAGUCCAUGCAAUUUAUGUGACUUGUUAAGCAACUUUUUACUCCUGAACUUAUUUUGGCUUGCCAUAACAAUGAGGCUGAAUACGACAAUUCAGCUUUUAAUUUUUUAUUAAUUUGUAAAAAUGUCAAAACAUAUGGGGUAUUGUGUAUAGGCCAGUAACACAAAAUCUAAAUAUAAUCCAUUUUAAAUUCAGGCUGUAACACAACAAAAUUCAGAAAAAAUCUAGGUGUGUGAAUCCUUUCUGAAGGCACUGUAGGUAAUUGUGGCUAAUGUUUGGAUUGUGUUUGGUUUUCACUUAUUUUCUAUCUGUAUGGAAAUGCAAAUGUAGGCCUCUGUAAUAUUGUGCUUCAGAUGUUUAUGUUGUG